rnacentral:rRNA from 1 species
UACAGAGACUGCAAGCGUUAUUCGGAUUCACUGGGCGUAAAGGGUGCGCAGGCGGUUGGGUGUGUCAGAUGUGAAAUCCCGAGGCUCAACCUCGGAACUGCGUCUGAAACUACUCGACUAGAGUACUGGAGAGGGUAACGGAAUUCACGGUGUAGCAGUGAAAUGCGUAGAUAUCGUGAGGAACACCAGAGGCGAAGGCGGUUACCUGGACAGUUACUGACGCUAAGGCACGAAAGCAUGGGGAGCAAAAGGG